GGUGCCCAGUGUGGACAGAACCCACCCCUACGGUGGCCCUCGGGUGGUGAUGCAUUUGCUCCAGGCGGUGCGUGGAGGUCCGGAGUAGGGGAUUGCUGGCUGGCUGCCCAGCUCUGAUUACUACUUCCCAGUAGCUACUUUUCUCCUUUUCUUCCAUCCCAUACAUAUGGUGGCCAGAUCCUCUUAAUUCAGUGGACUCUGAGCACAAUAAGAGCAGCUAGCAGCCACAAGAGGAGAGCUGGUCUUGUGGCAGCAAGCAUGACUUGUCCCCUUAGCUAAGCAGGGUCCGCCCUAGUUGCAUAUGAAAGGGAGACAAUAUGUGAGCACUGUAAGAUACUCCCCUUGGGGGAUGGAGCCGCUCUGGGAAGAGCAUCUAGGUUCCAGGUUCCCUCCCUGGCAGCAUCUCCAAGAGAGGGCUGAGAGAGAUUCCUGCCUUUGCAACCUUGGAGAAGCCGCUGCCAGUCUGUGUAGACAAUACUGAGCUAGAUAGACCAGUGAUCUGACUCAGUAUAUGGCAGCUUCCUAUGUUCCAUCUAUGAACACAUUGGAGUGAUGUCCCUGCAAAAAGAGGCUGCUCUUGACUAGGCCAGAGCCUUGCAGGGUACACAGGGAAAGGGGCCUCCGGGACAAAUUUUGGGAAGGGAAAGCACACUAACUGGAGCAGGGGAGAGCAGUGAAAAUCACUCCCCACCCCACCCCACCCCCACCCCGAUGUAUGCUCUGCUGCGAAACUAGCUGAGUUGGGAGCAGCCUCCCUGUGUGGGGAGACAGCUCUGCUGUGUUCCUUGCUGGCUGCUGUGGAUGCCAUCCAGUCCAGGAGGCCUUGAAGUGGGAGGGGAGGAGAGAGCAGACGGCAGUUUCCCCCCCUCGGUGGCAGGCGUGGGAAAUCCCUCUUCCUGUUGCAGGCUUCUUGACUGCUUGGCUUAGCUUCCUGCCACUGAGGAAGGAGGGCAGGGAGGCCAACUUUCCACUUGCUUUCCAGCCAGCGGCCAGCCGCUUCACAUGAAGCCGCUUCACAGAAGGUGUGCAGUGUAAAGCUCGCCUGUGUAAGAUUUCGGACAUGGCCGUCUCUACACGUGGAUUUCACACGUUGCCGUUUCGAAAGCUGAAACUCUCCCAGCCACCUGAAACUGAUGAAAAAUGGGGCGGAGGCGGUGGAGAGGAGAGAGAAGAAUACUUUCCCGAGCUCAGCACUAACAAGGAGGGGGAGGAACAAGUUAAACAGUACACCCUUCAGAGGCCAAUAUAUCUCAGAAUUCCUUUAAGGUCCUCUUUGCCAUUAACCCCUGGUUUCAGAAUACCAAUGUGCAAUCCUUUUCUGAUUUUUCUUUUAGGAUGCAACGUUUUCUCUCCAAAGAUACGCACUUUAAAUGCCAUUGUGUUUCCUUUAUGCCUCUUUCUCCUGUGUAUUGGCCAAGGUCUUUCUCUAUUGAUGUCUGCCAGAUUUUCUUUAAACCUAGCCAAUAGAGGCCUUUCAGUUUCUCCCACUUCCUCCCAAUUUUACAAUAUACAGCGGGCCAUUUAAAAUUACUUAAUGAAAAGCCUGAGAAAACAGGUGAGUCUUAAGGGUCUUUUAAUUAAUUAACCAUCUUUUUAAAAACAGGCAGUGAUGGAGAAGCUCUUGACAGGGAGUGCAUUCCAGGACCCCGGGGCAGCCACCGAGAAGGCCCAGCCCAAGUAGCUACCAAAUGAGCUGGUGGCAAACGUAACCAGACCUCUCCAGAUGAUCUUAAUAGGUGGGAGGGUUCAUGACAGCUGGAGUGUUUCAGGAAAAAUACUUCAAGAACUACCUCCCUGCCCGCCCCCCGCCAGCGCUAUUUCAAUGUCCCCACAGCAGUCAUGAAAAUCAAGUAGAUGCUUCAACUUUAGACUUAAAAUUACUAGAAAGUUGUGAGGCUUGAUUUUACCACUAGAGGUCACUCUUUUUCCAACCACAGGAAUCACCAAAAGAGGAUGACUUCUAGCCGAGCUUGUCUUUGCAUUUUUUGAACUAGGGCCAAGGAAAACAAACAGAUUGUUUGAGACUUGCAACACAGAACUCUACACAGAACCGUGUCCAGCUAGAGAGCAAAUUAUUUUUUACUGUUGACUAUAUCACUUUCUUUUUAAAGAGUAUCAGAUAAUUGGUGUAGGAAUCUGCCAUCCUGCAGGAGGGGUGCAGUUCCCUCCUCUUUACCAUUGUCCUCACCGGAGCUGUUUUAGCAACUUGCUCUUCCCAGGUUCCUCUUCUCUUUCAGGUGCCUCCCUCGGAAAUAAAGUGGUUUCCCUCUCUCUGGGCUAUAAGGCCUUCCAAAGUAGCCUGGCCUGCCCCCUUCAGCUCUCUACCCACACUGUAAUCUAACUAAUGGCCUUUGUGGCUGCCUGGGGCUGAUGGGACGUAGUCCAGCAACAUCUGAGGACCCGUGGUUGGGAACCCCCAUGCUAGAGAGCAGUUACUAGCACCCAGGGGGUAGGUGGAUCCUGGAGGAAGAUUCUCAGCAGUGGAAAAAUGUGGGCUUCCAACUAGCCAAGAAAAAGCCUGCAGGGUUGAUUGAUGGAUUUGCAUUUAUCACCUACUCUUCCUCCAGAGCCAGGACCCCAUUCGUCUUCAGAACAAUCCUGUGGGUUAGGUUAGGCUGAGAGGCAGUGUCAGGCCCAGGGUUACUCAGUGAAGCGAUUCACACGUGCAGGCAAAACUGGGCUAAGGGAUUGGGCCCGAUGGGCUUGGCACCUCUAGAGCAACUCUCCUAAAUGACAAGUAUCCGGGGCUAGCAGACUGUGGGGUUCCUGGUCAGCUUCGGGGGGGUGGGAUCCCCGUAAUACACCACACACUUGUCUUAUUCCGGGUGGAGGGACAAAGCAGGGUGACACAUCCCAGCACCCUGACCCUCCACACCGCGGUAGCCAGCAAUUGUCUGGGCAGACGAUUCACCCACACAAGAAGGCGCCUGUGAUCACUUGCAGGGAGGUAAGCUUUUCAAGGCUUCUUCCCUGCUUUGCCCUCUUUGCCUUCCUCACUGAUCCUGAGAAAGGGCUCAGUAUGUUUUAUGGUGGGGUGGGAAUUUGAAUCCAGCUCUUGCUGCUCUUAAUCAGCUACUCAAGCCAAGGAGUAAGUGGCCUUGGUUCUCCAGCUGUUGUCAGACUACAGCUCCCAUCAUUCCCAGCCGCAAGUGAGUGGCUGGCGAUUACGGGAGCGGUCGUUCAGCAACAGCUGCAGAGCCAAGGUUGCCUGCCCUGGUUCUUGCCAUUAGAACAGAUGGGCCUCUCCUCCACAAAUACAUUGAAACCCUCCUUUGAAACCAUCUAAGAUAGUGGCUGUCAUCGUCACCUACUAUGAUGACGACGAAUAUUUAUCUACCAAUCCAACUGUGGCCAUGAAUUCCAAGUAUUUGGGGAAGAAUUACCAGUACUGUCUGUCCUGAAUCAACUGCCAGAGUCAUAGGAUGACACCGAAGUAUGAGAAAGAUGCAGCACAGGGAUUAAGUGUGCUUGUAUUUGAACGCUGGGAGGUGGCAGAGACAGAAGCAAUCAGCAGCCCUCUAGUAUAAGCUCCUGUUCAUCAGUAGGACUAUCUGCUCACAACCUGAACUACAACAUGCCACAAGCACAGAAGAAGCAGGCAGAGCCUCGUAGGGCUGCUCAACCGGCCCUCCAGCUGUUUUUGGACUACAACUCCCAUUAUCCCCUACCACAGCGGCCCAUAGCCAAGGGUUAUGGGAGUUGUAGGCCAUCUCUGCAGGAGGGCCGAAGUUGUGCAGCCCUGCUUCAGAGCAAUCCCUCCAGGUCACUCGUACAAGCAAGCCAAGCCACCAACCACAGAGGAAAAACAAGAACCCCUUGUGUUGAUUUGCCCCAGAUUGGCCUGGGGAAAAUUCUUUCCUUAAUCCCUAAGGCAGUGUUGAGUCAUACCCUGACCAUGAGCAAAACCAUCUGCUGAGUCAUCCAAAGGAAAUGUUGGAUCUUCUUUAGCAUCCUGUCUCUAGCUAUGGGAGUCUCUAAUGCUUUUGGAUAGGGUGGGGCACAAUUCCUCCUGACCUCAGUGGGUCACAAACAAGAGAGCCGAAGAAAAAACGGUCUCUCCAAAAAAAACCAACAAAUUUUUCCAUGAAGCCUCCAGCUUACCAAAUCAAAACUAUAACCAUUUUAUAGAGAUGUGCACGAAACAGGUUUUGCGUUCUGCUUCGAGCUAAAAACGAAACGCAAAACAGCUGAAACAUUUUGUCAAAACAGCGGUCAACUUGGCUGUUUCAGUGGAACAACUCGAAACAUUGUGAGUGUUUUGACUAUAGGGAACAAUCUGAGAAUUCAAAAUGCCCCAUUAUUCCCCAUGGAUAACUUCAAAGUGGGGGCCUACCCACUUAGCUCCCUACUUAACAACAUCUAACAAAUGUUUAACCUUUCCCCUAACCCCCCAUAGGAUUCUAUGGGGGUUUGGAGAAAAGUUAAAAAAUGUAUUUAAAAUCACCCAUAUGCCCAUUUCUUUAGUGGGUUGGGUGGUAGGUAGUACCCAUCAUGCCCUACCACCCAACCCACUUUGGCGUUCCUAGGUGCUACCCAUGGAGAACAAGGGGGUGUUUUGAGUUCCCCAUUGUUCCCUAAGGCCAGAACAAGGAGAGGAGAGCUGAUCUUGUGGUAGCAAGCAUGACUUGUCCCCCUUAGCUAAGCAGGGUCUGCCCUGGAUGCAUAUGAAUGGGAGACUUGAUGUGUGAGCACUGCAAGAUAUCCCCUCAGGGGAUGAAGCCACUCUGAGAAGAGCAGAAGGUUUCAAGUUCCCUCCCUGGCAGCAUCUCCAAUAUAGGGCUGAGAGAGAUUCCUGCCUGCAACCUUGGAGAAGCCGCUGCCAGUCUGUGAAGACAAUACUGAGCUAGAUGGACCAAUGGUCUGACUCAGUAUAUGGCAGCUUCCUAUGUUCCAAGCUGCACUCACAAAGUGCUCUGCACACACCAGUUUUGCAUUGCAAUUUGCAAUGCAUUUUGCAACCCUGCUUUGAAAAGAACAAGAAAGAAAAAAAACUGCAGAAGCAUGCAGUAAAAGGGAAUCUGUCCCUCACAACACAGAACACACAUUUCAAACACUCCAAAAAUGGCCAAAAAAUAAUCACCCAGAAUUCCACUGCCAACCACAGUUCCUGUGCUGCAGUGACAUCGCUGGCACAAGUUGCUCUCUCAUACACAAUUAGGACUCCUUAUGUUACUUCCUGGCAUUGCCAGAUACUUUAUCCGACUCCUAAAUAGUUUGAAAAAAUGGACCUGGCCUCAAACCAGGUCUUUCUCAUUAUGAAUUUGGUUCCUUCUCAACUUAUUACUCUCACCUCUUCAUCCCUUUCCCCUUCUGUCUCUGUUACAUAUUCUGCAUACAUUUAUAUCACCAGCUUCCUGGAGGCAGGGACAACUCUUUUGUUGACAUCACCAUGUAAAGCAUAUAUGGAUGGCACCAUAGAAAUAAUGAUGAUGACAAAUUGCAAGAGAUUCCAAUGUUGCAUUGCUGUCCUGAACACAGUGAGGCUCUUUGCUCCAACAAAGAACAUUAAUUAAUCUUCGUUAGUGCACAGAGGCCGGCCAAGUGUGAAUAAUGUCUAAAACUCAUGACGGCUGCUUUAUUUGGCACCAGGAAGGCCUGGAGUAAUUUGUCUGGUCUGGGUCACUGCUUGCUGAGAAGAAUAAGGAUGGGGUUGAGGCAAAGCAAGCAAAGACCUUCAAGGUCUUGGAACGUUUGAGGAAAGGCCGAGGGGAAAAAGAGUGAUUUUGUGCCUCCAGGUGUUUAAGAAGUACGGUAGCAGAUUUCCAAUUUCUACAAGGAUGUACUGAGGAGGAGCAACUGCUGCAGUUUCCCCCGAGGCCAAGAAGGGGGAUGUCCAGGUGUGCUGCAGAAGCUGUGUCUGGAAGCAGCUGUGCAAGUCAGCUUUUCUAGAAGUGGCUGGGCGCAAGGUGUCCGAGGUAUUUUGAAGUCUGCUUCGCACAGGGCCGGCUUAGACCAACUAAUCUGAGCAAGCAAAGGGGUGGCGAGGAACAUUCCUAGGGAAGCAAGGAGUUUGCGACACAUUAAAUACUUCUAGAGGUAAGGCAGUUGACACUGUUGUUAAUAUAUUCACCUUAUUAAGGAAGCUUGCUUGACACUGUCAGUUAUUCAGAAAAUGGGGUAGACUCCUCUGAGACACUUGCUCAAGUGUUAGGAUGCUGAAUGAAUGAAAUGAAUAGAUGGAUGGAUAGGCUUAUUGAUCAGUCAUCUGAUCAUAUCAAAAUCAUUUUAAAAUUAAUUAAGAACAAUGUAAUUAAUGAAAAAGAUUAAAACAAAGCGUUAACGGGUUAGGCUGUUUAUGCUGGUGCGACACUAGCAGGUAGCUAGCACGGUGUCCUUGUGCUUGCACAACAUGUUUGCACAAGUGUGUUGUUAGUCUGGAUGUUGGAUGCCUAGUCAGGGCCAGGAAGUGGAACAGAGUAGAGGAGAACCUGCUUAUCACACCAGAGUCAGGAUAGUGUCUAGACCAGGAUAGGCAACCUUGACCUUGACUCUCCAGUUGUGGAACUACGACUCCCAUCAUCUCCAGCCAAUAUAUUGUGUUAGGGGAUGAUGGGAAUUGUAAUCCCCAAAAUAGGUGGAGAUCCAAGGUUGCCUACCCCUGGUCUAGACAGAGCCUUAUGGGUUGGACUUGUGAGCAGGGCCUGGUAAGAUCUGGAGUCAACUUGCUUUUCAGAGCCUAUCACUGCCGUGGAUUGCCAGCGUGGCGUAAUGGUUAGAGUGCUGGACUAGGACCGGGGAGACCCGAGUUCAAAUCCCCAGUCAGCCAUGAGACUAGCUGCGUGACUCUGGGCCAGUCACUUCUCUUUCAGCCCAACCUACUUCACAGGGUUGUUGUGAGGAGGAACUCAAGUAUGUAGUACACCACUCUGGGUUCCUUGGAAGAAGAGCGGGAUAUAAAUGUAAUAAUAAUAAUUAAUAAUUAAUAAUGGAUUAUAGUGUCUGAACCAUUCAAAUCCAGACCGGAUGUCUGGUAUGCAUGACUCCUCCCAGCUCUUUUGCAUAUGCAGAUAUAAAGAUUACAGUAGGAAGAACAUUCUUGGGCUGAAGGCAACAGUCCCACCCCACCCCCUGCAAAAAAAGGGGGGUGUUGUUGUUACAGUUCAUAAAGUUAAAGACAAAGUAGAAUCCACUGAAAGCAAUAAUAUCAGUGAAAUUAACCUUUCAGUAAUCAAUAGGUCAGCAAGCAGGGGUGGGUUUUUUUGCAAAAUCUUAGCAGCAGAAAAUUGUUUCUGCUUAUUUCCAAAAGGAGGUGAAUGUCAGUGCCAAAUAAAUCUCCCAGAGCAAAAGACAUGCAAAAGUAUGGGGCUCACCAAUGAAAAGACCCGGUUCUUAGUGGGUGGUAAUCUUGCAUACCAAAGAGAUGAUACCCUGAGUAGAAUCUAAGGACCAGAUCUUAAAGCAAAGCAGGGGAGGGGGGUGGGGGGAAUGUAGGAGAAGACACUCCCUGAAAUGCACCAGAUUUUCAUCCAAUGAAGUUGGUGUAACAGUGGAGAUGAAGUUAGUCUGAUAACAACAUCAUUCACUGUGAUAUCUACGGAUGGGGUCCUAGUUUGUUUAUUAGUCACAUUUAUAUACCGCCCUUCAUCAGUGUAGGGCACAUGCUGUGCGUGCAAAAGGUCCCCAGUUCAAUUCUCAUCACCCCCAGGCAAGGCAUGAAAAAAAGAUUCCUAUCUGGAAUCCUAGAGAACUGUGGCUAACCUGGGGUUCAUGGGGCUAGUCCAGAUGGUGCAUGGAAAAUUAAAUGUGAAAUGAAGGAUAGCUUCCAAAAAACUAUAAUUUUAUAAUCAACUAAGGUGUGUCCUUUAAUUUUCUGUAAUUGACAUUUUACCUUCAUGGCUGACAAGAGACAUCAGAGUAGAAUUAACUAACCUGAGUACUCCCCCCACCCCACCCUUCUAAUUUUUAUUGGAGCCAUAUGAAAAUAUAUUGCAUGUAUGGAGUGGCAUUCCAUGGGUAAUACUUGAGGAUCCAGGGGAUGUGGGGUACUUAAGUGCAAAAAGGUUAAGACGCCCUGAUGUAGACAGUCGUGAGCCAGACAGACCAAUGCCCUGACCCAGGAGCUUGCUAAUGCACAUUAGGGAUGUGCAAACUGGUUAGAUCUCAAACGGGUUUGCACUCGAACCAGGCCGGUUCGGAUUUUCGACCUCGAAAUGAACCAGACCCAAUCCAGUCUGAUGUCGAACUGAAUCUCUCUGGCCAGUUUUAGCCCAGUUUGAGGGUAGCGGGGGGCAUUGAAAUAGUGUAAAACAAGGAAUUACUUUCCACUGGUAGCAGCUGCAGCAGCUUCAGGGGUGCUGCAGUGGCCACAGGGAGAGUUUCAGACAGCUCCCCCUUCUCCUUCUGCCCCGCUCCGUCUCCCAGGGCUGGUUCAACCCAUUUGGGGAGCGGUUUGUCCCUCUGUGCAUGCGGUGGCCAUUUUUUGGGCUGCCAUUUUUGGGGCUUGCAUAUGCAUACAAGCCAUUUGUGUGACUGGUGGGGGAGGGGGAGCUGCUGGAGAAACACCCCCCCCUGAGGCUGCCACAGCAGCCCCUGAGGCCGCCAUAACCACCAGUGGUGGUAAGUAAUUCCUUAUUUUACACUAUUUCAGUGCCCACCACCACCCUCGAACUGGGCCUGAACUCGCUCAAAUUCGAGGCAGUUCCGGCCCGGUUCGAGGGGGCAAAACCGAACAUACUGAGUCUGGUUCGAAUCCGACUUUGAUUCGAACCGAACCAGGCAAACCAGUUUUGGGCACAUCCCUAAUGUACACUCAUCCCACGCUGGUAAACAGGGUCUUCAGGAUUCUGGUGUGUUUCAAAAGUCUCCCAAACAGUGUCAGCACCCGGGGUGGGGAACUUAGGUGGGGGUGCACAGAAGGGGUAUUGUGCAUUUAUGGGUGGGCGAGCUGUGUCCUGCAUGUCAGUUUUCUGGAACACAAAUAGUGGGGAGGGGGGAGUGGAGGAGUAAGCCACUUGUCCAGAAGCCAAUGACCACCCUUGCUCUCAAACCUGUUUGAUCAGAGACAGUCAAUAGAAUGAAAACCAUGUCUGAAUGCACAUAGGCAGAAAUGGGCUGCCCAAUAGGCCUCCUAGGGCUGGGCUGGGGACACCCCGCUCUGUGCUGGGGGGUGGAGGGCAGAGACGGAAAGGCAAGGGGGUGUCACAUAGGAUCAGAGGGCGCUGCCUAGUCAGACCCUUGGUGCAUCAUCUAGCUCAGUACUAUCUACAACAGCCUUGCGCAACCUAAAGGGGGCGGGUCUGGCCCACAGGGACAUUUUUGCUGGCCCACAGGUAGCCAGCAACAGCUUGAGCCACAAACCUUGGCAUUUGUGUGGGGCUGGAAUAGUCAGGUGCCCCAUUGACUGAGCAAGGGCAGGGCUUACUUUUGGGUCACUGUCCUUGGUUAAAAUUGUGGGCCCCUGGGGGGGAGGGGAAAGCCUCACAAGUAACUAGUAAUUGCUUUAAUGAAGACUGAAUUGUUUUAUAUCAUAAAGGCAUUCUAAUGAUUUUAUCCUGCUUUAUAUUUUGUUGUAUUUUAACUUGUGCACAUUGCCUAUGGAUGCACUUUUCAGGUGGUAUAUAAAUAUGAUAAUUAAAAUUAGUAUGCUGCAAUAGUCUGUGCACUGAAAAUUGACCUCAGCCCCCCAUGCAUCGAGUCAUGGUUGUUUGUGGCCCAAUGGGGCAAUUGAGUUGUGCACCGCUGGUGGUCUACACUGCAGGGGCGUAACUAUAAUAGGGCAAGGGGAGACAGUUGUCUGGGGGCCCACUGCCGGGGGGGCAGAAGCAAGUCACAUGACUGACUCCCCCAGCCGCACACCCACCUGGGCUUCCAUCAGUUGUAUUUAUCCUCCGAAAUGGACGUGAGUGUUAAGACCCGGAGCUACCAGAACAGCAUGUCCUUCUCUAGUACCAUUCAAUGACUUGCAUCGUCCACAAUUUACAGAACCUUUUAAAAAAUAAUUUAGGAUGAUGUUCUAUUGUGGCACAUAGGAAGGAGGAAGAGAGAGAGCGAGAGCGAGAGCAAGAGAGAGAGAGAGAGAGAGAGAGAGAGAGAUUUUACUAUGCUUUUUGUUACCACUAUUCAGCCUCAUUUAAGAUUUCUUUACUUCAUGAGCUGAGCUUUGGGGGUGGGGGCAUUUUAAAAUCUCUGGGCCCACUCCAUCCUUGCUACGCCCCUGCUACACUGACUGGCAGCCGCUCUCCAAGGUUUCACACAAGAGUCUCUCCCAGCCCCACCUGAAGAUGUUACCAGGGAGUGAACCUGGGAUCUUCUGCAUGCAAACCAGAUGCCUCACCACUGGGCUACGGCCCCAUCCCGAAAUUAAGCUCAGGCACUUAAAUCUCUGCCGAGAGCAGCUGAGCAACCAACUUUUGCUUCCUUCUCUGUUUGCGACUGAUGGACUCAGCCAGCCAGGGGGCAGGCAGGGUUAGAGGCACCUGAGAGGUAACUCCACCCUUGCACUGACACAACGGUGCCUGUGCAGUGCCCCUUGACGCCCUCUCUUGCAAACAACCAUCUCUCUCUCCACUUCUUCCUCUUCACAGUUGAGGGUUGAGCAUUCAGACAAAUGCAGGAAGCCCCUGCCACCCAGGGAAAGUGAGUUGACUUCCAUGCAAAGAGCCAAGGCAGAACGGACUCAUUUCCAAUUCUGCCGUGUCCGGCUGAGCCCAACUGGGGUCGCAGUUUGGUUUUCGGCUGUUGUGUGUGCAUUGUAAACUGGGAGGGUGGGAGUUGGCCUGUCAGGCUGCCUUAACUUAAUUGAAAACACAUGUCUGAGCGUCCCCUCCUCCUCCUCCUCCUCCCCGGCCCUCCAGGCUGGGAAAUUUUUUGUCUGCUUCUUUGCAGCUUAGAAUCUGAAGAACUAAACAUUCCAGCUAACACCAUGCUGGGCAAAACGGCUGGACUCCCAGGCAUCUACCUUUUGCUCCUCUUACCUGCCUCGGCCAGCCCCUGUCCCAACCGCUGCUUGUGCUUCAGGACCACGGUCCGAUGUAUGCAUUUGAGGCUGGAAUCCAUCCCUGAAGUUCCAUCCCAGACAAAUGUACUGGAUUUGCGCUUCAACCACAUCAGAGACAUCCAGCCUGGAGCCUUCAGGAAUUUGAAGAACCUCAACACGUUGCUUUUGAACAACAACUUGAUAAAACAUAUUCCACAGAGGUCCUUUGAAGAGCUUGUGAACUUGAAAUACCUCUACCUCUACAAGAAUGAAAUCCAAAGCAUCCAGCAACAUGCAUUCAAAGGCCUUCAUUCCCUGGAACAGCUUUACCUGCAUUUUAACAACCUGGAAACCUUGGAGCCAGGAACCUUUAGCGACCUCCCCAAACUGGAAAGACUCUUCUUACACAACAACCGCAUUUCCAGGAUCCAGCCAGGAGCUGUGGCCCAACUGGAAUCCCUGAAACGACUGCGCCUGGACUCCAAUGCUCUGCUGUGCGACUGCGAUCUCAUGUGGCUGGCGGAGCUGCUGAAGAAAUACGCCAUCCAGGGCAGUACCCAGACCGCUGCCACCUGCGAGAACCCAAGGGAGCUCCAGGGACGCUCCAUCGCCACUUUGACCAGCCAGGAUUUCAACUGUGAGAGGCCUCGCAUCACUACUGAACCACAGGAUGCUGAUGUCACCCUGGGCAAUACCGUUUAUUUCAUCUGCAGGGCAGAAGGCAACCCCAAACCCAAGAUCAUCUGGCUCCACAACAACAACGAAAUCGACAUGAAAGAUGAUGGACGCCUGAACUUGUUGCAAGACGGAACAUUAAUGAUCCAAGACACCAGGGAGUCGGACAAAGGUGUCUACCAGUGCAUGGCCAAGAACAUUGCUGGAGAGGCAAAGACCCAGGAGGUUGUUCUGCGCUACUUUGGAAACCCAUCCAAGCCCAGCUUGGUGAUCCAGCCCCAGAACACAGAAGUGCUGGUUGGGGGAAGUGUCACUUUGGAGUGCGGGGUGUCCGGGCAUCCUCAGCCUCGUGUGGUCUGGAGGCUGAGCUCAGGGUUUCCACUGCCGCAAGAUCCUCGCUUCACCACCACCAGCUCUGGGGGCCUCUACAUCCAAAACGUCACCUUCUCGGAUCAGGGCCAGUACAGCUGCAACGCCAGUAACAGUGAAGGGUCCAUCCAGGCAACAGCAAACGUCAUCGUCCAAGAUAAACCUAGGUUUUUGGUGGUCCCCACUGAUCAGACCGUGACUGAGGGGCAGAGCGUGGACUUCCCAUGUUCUGCAGAGGGACAUCCUCUCCCUGUUAUUGCCUGGACGAGAGCAGGUGGGCCUCUGCCAAGCGACCGGAAGCACAGCAUCCUCUCUACUGGCACCCUGAGAGUGGUCCGGGUUGCCCUUCAUGACCAAGGCCAGUACGAAUGCCAUGCCAUCAGCGCUAUCGGUGUCCAGAGCUUCCCGGUGCAGCUCUGGGUGACCCCACGAGUGAUUCCAGUGUUCCUUCAUCCCCCGCAAGAUCUGGUGGCAGAGACUGGGAAGGACAUCGACAUCACUUGCGCUGCUCAAGGGGACCCGCAGCCUACCAUAACGUGGGCCAAGGAUGGAAUUCAGAUCACAGAGAGUGGAAAGUUCCAUAUCGGCCGCGAGGGGACCCUCUCUGUCAGCGAUCUGGGGAUGGCGGAUGAAGGGAGAUACGAGUGUAUAGCCAGGAAUACCUUUGGGUUCACUUCCAGCACCAUGCAGUUGACAGUGACCGCCACGAAUGUCAGAAGAAGCGGCGAUACUUUUGUAGCCACCUCAAUCCAGGAAGCCAUCAGCAGCGUGGACCAUGCUAUCAAUUCUACGCGCACUGAACUGUUUAGCAAGCGGCCCAAGACUCCUAAUGAAUUGCUGGCCCUUUUCCGUUAUCCGCGGGAUCCGUACACCAUUGAGACAGCCCGGGCUGGAGAGAUCUUCGAGAGGACCUUGCAGUUGAUUCAGGAACACGUGCAGCAGGGGUUGGUGGUGAUCAUGAAUGGAACAGGCUACCGCUACAAUGAUCUGGUCUCCCCACACUAUCUGAACAUGAUUGCCAACCUGUCUGGCUGUUCCGCUCACCGCCGCACACCCAACUGCUCAGACAUCUGCUUCCACAAGAAGUACCGGACCCACGACGGCUCCUGCAACAACCUCCAGCACCCAAUGUGGGGAGCGUCCCUCACGGCGUUCCAGCGUCUGCUCAAGCCAGCCUACCAAAAUGGCUUCAACUUGCCCAGAGGCUUUUCUUUGGUGGAAGAUGCCAGAGAUCUGCCGCUUCCUCUGCCACGCUUGGUCUCCACCGCUAUGAUCGGCACGGAGACCAUCACCCCUGAUGACCAGUUCACACACAUGCUGAUGCAGUGGGGCCAGUUUCUGGACCAUGACCUGGACCAGACGGUGGCCGCCAUCAGCAUGGCCCGGUUCUCUGACGGCCAGUCUUGCAGCCAGGUGUGCACCAAUGACCCUCCGUGCUUCUCCAUCAUGAUCCCGGAGAAUGACCCCCGGGUCAGGAAUGGCCGCUGCAUGUUCUUUGUCCGCUCCAGCCCAGUGUGCGGCAGUGGGAUGACCUCUCUGCUGAUGAACUCCGUCUAUGCCCGGGAGCAGAUCAACCACCUUACCUCUUUCAUCGAUGCUUCCAACGUCUACGGCAGCACCGAACACGAGUCCUCGGAACUAAGGGACCUCAGCAACCAGAGAGGGCUGCUGAAGCAAGGCCAGGUGGUCCCAAGUUCGGGGAAGCACCUCCUUCCUUUUGCAGUGGGGCCUCCCACCGAGUGCAUGAGGGACGAGAGCGAGAGCCCCGUGCCGUGUUUCUUGGCAGGCGAUCACCGAGCCAAUGAGCAGCUGGGCCUGACCUCCAUGCACACCCUGUGGUUCCGUGAGCACAACCGCAUAGCCACCAAGCUCCUGGCCCUGAAUCCCCACUGGGAUGGGGAUACUCUCUACCACGAGACUCGCAAGAUUGUGGGGGCCCAGAUGCAGCACAUUACUUACUCCCAUUGGCUCCCCAAGAUCCUUGGGGAAGCUGGGAUGAAGGUUUUAGGAGAGUACCGAGGCUACGAGCCCAACACCAAUGCCGGCAUCCUGAAUGCCUUCGCCACUGCUGCGUUCCGCUUUGGCCACACCCUCAUCAAUCCCCUUCUCUACCGGCUCAACGAAACUUUCCAACCUAUCCCACAAGGCCACGUCCCGCUCCAUAAGGCCUUCUUCUCUCCAUUCAGGAUCAUCCAGGAAGGGGGCAUCGACCCACUUCUCCGCGGACUCUUUGGGAUCCCUGGGAAAAUGCGGGUGCCUUCCGAACUCUUGAACAUGGAACUGACAGAGAAGCUCUUCUCAAUGGUGCACUCUGUCUCUCUGGACCUGGCGGCCAUCAACAUCCAAAGGGGGCGGGAUCACGGCAUCCCCCCUUAUAAUGAUUUCCGGGUCUUCUGCAACCUCACAUCUGCUCAGGAGUUUGAGGACCUCAAGAAUGAGAUUAAAAACCAGGAGAUCAGGGAGAAGCUCAGGAGUUUAUAUGGGAUUACAAAGAAUAUUGACCUGUUUCCUGCACUGAUGGUGGAAGAUCUUGUCCCUGGUACCAGAGUUGGGCCAACACUGAUGUGCCUAUUGGUGACCCAGUUCCGAAGACUCCGGGAUGGAGACAGGUUUUGGUACGAGAACCCAGGGGUGCUCAGCCCAGCCCAGCUCACACAGAUCCGGCAGGCAUCACUCGCACGCAUCAUCUGUGACAACAGCGACCACAUCAGGCAGCUGCAGAAGGACGUCUUCCGGGUGGCGCCGUACCCUCAGGGCAUGGUCAGCUGUGAUAAAGUCCCCGAAGUCGAUCUACGUAUGUGGCAGGACUGCUGUGAAGACUGCAGGACGAGGGGCCAAUUUAGGGCUCUCUCACAGCAAUUCCGAAGCAAGAGGUCGUCCGAUUUCAGCUACCCGGAAGAAAACCCUUCCAAGGCCAUUCUGGGAGACCUGAGGACAGAGGGACCUCCACAGAACCCUUCUUCAGAAGAGGAUCUUGAGUCUUUAGUGAAUGAACUUGAAAAAACUGUCUCUGCUCUUCGGAAACAGGUCAACUAUUUGGAAGGCCAGCUGAGGCAGCAGCAACGAAGUUCUGGCAAAUCUGGUCGGCAGCAGAAGACUGGCGCCAAAUGGAGGAAAAGAUGACCAGCCCUUCCUGGUGCUAAUCUGGUACAUAAGUGGGAUCAGCAGAAACAAAGCCCACCAGCUCCUUCUCUUACCCCCCAAUCAACAUGGCUCCUUCCUCAUCCGGGACAGUGAAAGUAACAGAGGAGAAUACUCUCUUUCAGGGAGAAAGUAUUUUUGGCUGGCACCAGCAUCAACUUUGUGAUCUCUCCGUGCACCACCUCUGUACCUCUGCCCACCAAUCUGAAGGUCUCCCCUAUGCACUUUCUUUGAAGCUCUUGCUG